GAUGAACGCUGGCGGCGUGCCUAAUACAUGCAAGUCGAGCGAACAGAUAAGGAGCUUGCUCCUUUGACGUUAGCGGCGGACGGGUGAGUAACACGUGGGUAACCUACCUAUAAGACUGGGAUAACUUCGGGAAACCGGAGCUAAUACCGGAUAACAUUUGGAACCGCAUGGUUCUAAAUGAAAGGUUGGUUUGCUUUCCCCUAUAAAUGGACCCGCGCCGUAUUAGCUAGUUGGUAAGGUAACGGCUUACCAAGGCGACGAUACGUAGCCGACCUGAGAGGGUGAUCGGCCACACUGGAACUGAGACACGGUCCAGACUCCUACGGGAGGCAGCAGUAGGGAAUCUUCCGCAAUGGGCGAAAGCCUGACGGAGCAACGCCGCGUGAGUGAUGAAGGGUUUCGGCUCGUAAAACUCUGUUAUUAGGGAAGAACAAAUGUGUAAGUAACUGUGCACGUCUUGACGGUACCUAAUCAGAAAGCCACGGCUAACUACGUG
rnacentral:rRNA from 1 species